rfam:Triticum aestivum genome assembly, contig: Triticum_aestivum_CS42_TGACv1_scaffold_288261_4AL
CACAUACUCGCUCCAUUCGGAAUUACUCGUCCAAGAAAUGAAUGUAUCUAGAUGUAUUUUAGUGUAGAUACAUCCAUUUUCAUUCAUUUUUGUGACAAGUAAUUCCGAACGGAUGGAGUAAUAU